rnacentral:rRNA from 1 species
AUUGAACGCUGGCGGCAGGCUUAACACAUGCAAGUCGAGCGGAGCGAGGGUGCUUGCACCUUAGCUUAGCGGCGGACGGGUGAGUAAAGCUUAGGAAUCUGCCUAGUAGUGGGCGACCACAUUCCGAAAGGGAUGCUAAUACCGCAUACGCCCUACGGGGGAAAGCAGGGGAUCGUCGGACCUUGCGCUAAUAGAUGGGCCUCAGUCGGAUUAGCUAGUUGGUGGGGUAAAGGCCUACCAAGGCGACGAUCUGUAGCGGGUCUGAGAGGAUGAUCCGCCACACUGGGACUGAGACACGGCCCAGACUCCUACGGGAGGCAGCAGUGGGGAAUAUUGGACAAUGGGGGGAACCCUGAUCCAGCCAUGCCGCGUGUGUGAAGAAGGCCUUUUGGUUGUAAAGCACUUUAAGCGAGGAGGAGGCGCUCUAGGAUAAUACCCUGGAUGCGUGGACGUUACUCGCAGAAUAAGCACCGGCUAACUCUGUGCCAGCCGCCGCUGUAACAC